GUAUCAUGGUGAGGACAUGAAUGAAGAAGCUUCUUGAGUCGCUCAAAUGCCUCAUCAAACUCUUCCCUAGGUGGCUACUAAAAAUUGGAGAUCUCUCGGGGUAU